rnacentral:lncRNA from 1 species
AAACUUUAUUUUAUAAAACUGUUGUAGUAUAGCUUUGGUUACAAAUCGUGAAAAAACAGCGAGGUGAAACCAGCAAUGGAGUUGAUAAGACAAAGCAGGUCUUCAUUACACAUGAGCAGUGGUUGUGUGAUCAUGGAAUAAACACUAAAAGCUUUCCCCAACUCCGCUGAGGCUUUUGUGGCUCACCCUCCGAAUUACCUCUCUUUCUCCUGUUCCACCCCAGGGGUUUUACCUGACCUGCAAUCAUCCCUUCAGACCUUCUGACAUGGCCCAGCCAGCUCCCCUGGCUCAUGUUUGUUCCUAUUACACUUAUUGUCUGUGACAGAAACCAGCAAGGGGCUGCUCUCCCACCCCCAUGGAGCUGAAAACUGAGUUGUGGUUGGGGAACAUUAACUCUCCAAAGGCCUAUGGAAAUGUUUGCUCUGACUGGUGAUCUGGGAGGUUUUAUUGUCACUAUUAUCAUCUUGCUUUUCUAUUCUUAGCUCCAGUUCUUGCUUUUAGUGCCUGCCAUAUCUCAAGGGGUUCUGCAGAGACAGAAGUAAUUUUCUGGAGAGGAAUGUGGAAGUUUCCAUGUGGUAAAAAGUACGGAAAGGGAGUGUGGUCAAGUGAGCAGCAAAUCAGGAUAUGAAUCAAAGAUUGUCGAAACUGAGAGGAACAAUACUGUGAACUUCAGGGCCUUUGGGUCCUGGGAGGCAAACUAUAUCUUAUAGUGUCACAUCUUUGUGUAUGGGGCAAAAAUUGUAAAAGGUCACCUUUUUUUGGGGAAAAGCUAUGUUUAAUAAUAUGUAGGAGGGACUACUGAGAGCAGGAGACCAGUUUAUUUCUUAGUACUCUAUAAUAAUUUGUUCCUUUACUUGUAAAGUGUUUUACUGGGACGCUAAAUACAAUCCUUAAAUCCUUUACUGUCAACAUAGUCCGAGUCCAAACCAAACAAUGCACAGAGCAUCAGCAAGCCUUUACUCCUGAUCAAGGAGGGAAUUCAUGAGCUCAGAAGGCAGUGCCAGGAUUGGCUCUCUUGGCCACAUGUAAGGAGAAAGCUCUGCUCCAAAACAAAUAUUUGUGUUCUUGCUUGCACAGAUCAAAUCCCUAUUUAUACUAUCAUGAGUCUGGGAGAAAUCCAUGGGAGACUGUGAAGAGGGAAAAGGUUUCAGUGCUGUGGGCAGAGAGGUGGAAUGGGGAAAAAUGACUUUUUGAAUCUUUCCAAACCUCCUCACCACUCCAGACCUCACAGGAUUAUCUUCUCAACUCAUCACCUCCCUUUAUCCUCCCUCUUCUUUUUUUUUAGCCUGUGUCUCUUGGAGGCCUGACGUAAUCUUCACAUUCUUCCCCUGAAAUUCUACCACACUUUUGAUGAUUUAAGGGCUGGAAAUGAGAGUGAGGAUCCCAGACAUGCCAGGCAAGUAUUCUGUCUUUUGAGGUCACCUCACAGAUAUUUUUUUCCCACAGCUGACAGAACAAUGAACUUUCUGAUUCAAUUACAAACUUCCAUUUCUCCACACCAGGAAAAAGGAAGAGAAAACCCCAUGUACUCUGCUCAUCAGUAAAGCAGACAAAAUCAAGCUCAUGUACAGGCUGUAAAGAAAAUAACAUACUAGGAUGACAAUUUGGCUUCUCAGUGCUUGUCUGUUGUCCCUUAGUCUUUGGAAAUUGUCCCCACAUUUCAGUAGGGGGCAAACCUUGAACUGAGUAGCUGGAAAAAGUCAGAAAUAUUCACCUCAUGUAAGAAGCUGACAAAAGUGAAGUGAUCUUUCCUUUCCUGGUUGUUCUUCAUCUUCUAACACAAGACAAAUAUUGAUGAUUUUUAGCCCAUGGACACUUCAUUGAUGUUGUUGAUCAUGGAAGAGGGGUGGCUGACUGCCAGGAUAGCAUAAUACAUCCUGUUUAUGUUUUAAAGCACAGACUAUUUGAUGGCAUUUCUCAGCAAGAUCAAAGAUCAGAAACUGAAUUCUAUAGUUAUGGAUCCAACAUGGAAUUAAUCAUAUCUGGAAUCCACCUGACUUGGAGGAACAAAACACACUAACUGAAGAAUUAGCAACAGUUUCCACUCCUGCCUAUCUUGUCUCAAACAUAAAAAGCUGUUUUUUCUUUACAUUUUGUCUAUAAAUCCAUGUAAUCUGGAUUGUCUUCAGCUAGUGUUCAAUUUCCAACCUAUCUUCUUUCUCUGAGUUAUCCCAAUAAAUCUUUUCACACUAUCUAGUGCCAGAGUUUUGUGAUCAUAACCCACAGAUAUAAUUUGUCAGGUGACAUCUACAGUGAAGUUCUUCAGAACAAAGUUUUCUGAUUUUAGUACUAUAUAAAGUAUAAAACCAUUGAUGAAUCCUCCAAUAACUUUAGGGAAUGGAGAGUGACUUUUUUUCAGUCUUUGCACUGUGCUUGCAUUUUUUCCUUUGGGGACCUUAAAUAUUUCAGGGCAUUUAUAAAGGUUGACUUCUUCUUGCCUGCCUGCCUACCUCGGUGGAGUAUUUUAUUUGGUCUUAUGUCAAAUGAAGAUGCAGGCUCAGAAGGUUAGUAACACUUAAAAGCACAGGAAAGAUCAAUAUGGGAUUUGGAAAAGUAGGAAGAAGCAGCCCUGAUGGAACUUUAUAGCCCACCAGAGAGUGUUUUUAUCUUGGAGCUUUGUGAAGGGAAAAUCCGUCUAGACUCACCCUACCUAACCGAGGCUCUAAAUUUUGAGCACAGCAGCCCUUGGGAAACAUAAGAAUCUCCAGAGGGUAGUAGAGUCUAUCCCAAGAUCUUUUUCCACUGACUGUAAUAGGAGCUGAAAGUGGCUGUGCUCAUUUUUAAAUGCUUAAAGUAAGAUAAGGUAAAUCUGGGCUCAGCAGUGAAUCCAACUUACCUGUAAAGAAAACGAACACUAAAGCCAUCCUGCAGAUUGAAGAAUUGCUGAGUCUGUGCUCGGAAUGUGCAGGACUGGAGGAUCCUGGCACAGGCUUCCCAGCAUUUGGUGUUGCUGCUGAGCAUGUCAGAAACAGCCCAGUGGAAUCAUGAAGCCAGAAAACAAAAGGCAGAGGACAUCCCAGACCUGCCUGGUGUUUUCCUUCCUGCUGCUGUCAGCACUGCCUGGUGGUCAGGAAUUCCAGGAGCUGUUCUGGUGCAUCAGCAUUCUCCAUGAAAUCAUUUUUUGCUUUGAUUUGUUUCUUUAUCUAGUGUGACAGCAAGAUGGAUACCACAAAGUUAGUGCCACAGUUAGGCAGAGGAUGGCAGUAAUCACUCCUGGGGUUUUUUCAGUGAACCCUGCUCUUGUGAGACCCCUCUUGCAGUACUGUGGCCAAACCUCAGGCCCCCAAUACAAGAAAAAUAUUGGAAUGAGUCCAGAGAAGGACUCUACGUUGAUCCCAGGGCUGGAACACCUCUACUAUGGAUCCAGGCCUGGAGAGCUGGGGUUGUUCAGCCUGGAGAAGAAAAGGCUCUGGGGAGACCCAAGAACACCUUCCAGUGCCUGAAGGGGAUACAAGAGAUUUGGAGAAGGACUUUUCACAAGGGUGUGAAUAGUGAGGAUGAGGGAUGAUAUUCUUAAACUGAAGAUUAGGUUUUAAAUAUUUUUUAAAUAUUAGGAAGAAAUUCUUUAUGGUGAGGGUGGUGAGGCCCUGGCACAGAUUGCCCAGAGAAGCUGUGGCUGACCCAUCCCUGGAAGGGUUCGGCACCAGGCUGGAUGAGACUCUGAGUGACCUGGGAUAGUGGCAGGUGUUCCUGUGCACGGCAGAGGGGUUGGAACUAGAUGACCUUUAAGAUCCCUUCCAGCCCAAACCAUUCCAUGAUUCUUUGAUCCUGCUUUCAUGUUGUGCAGCCAGCACCAGCCAGAGUCCCCUGGGCUCUCUGGUUUGUCUCUACAGGUACUUUCUUUCUCCUCCAGAGUUCAAGUCCUGGAGGGAUGGCUACACUCAGCAUGGAAGCACCUCUGCAGCUACACAAACAUAUCCAGACCCUGUACAUCGAUUUCUGGUGGUUGAGAUCGUAAAGAGUCUUUGCUUCCUAGCCCGACUCAGCCAAAGAAGGAGCCUGGAAUGCUUCUGAUUGCGUUUUCAAGGUUGUUUAUUUCUUCUUAUCUAAACAUUCUUUCUCUGACCUGCUGAUCUCUGCCUAGAAAGGAAGCCAUGGCAGUCUGCUCUGCCCUCUUGGGUGGUGUUUUCCUUUUAUAUCAAAAGUUACGUGUAGUCUGUUUACAAUUUCUUCACCAAUUCCCAUCACCUAUGUUAGACUGUGAAUCUCUACCUUAAACCAAUAGAAAAGUGCCACCAUCACACCAAGACAUUGAGGACAAGAAGUAGGAAAAGAGGGCUAGGACACACCCAAAUUCCUCUAUCUUGACCCCCUAAAUUAUAUCCUAAAAAUCCCAAAAUUCUACUUUUUCACCCUGUGUUAGUUCAAAUAUCACACUACUAAAACCCUUGUGGCUUCUAAUUCUUCAGACAAAAUUGACAUUUUUUUCCACAGGCUAAAAUCGAAGCCACAGAUGUUUUUGACUUCUUGCCAAGGUCUCUGAGACCCCUGCCAGGGUUUUGAGACAGCCAGGGCAGCCAGAGGGAUGUCCUGGACUCCAAAACCUGUAGGGUCUCUAAGCUGUGUCACCUCCUGACACACAGUGCAAUGGUAGUAGUGACCCACAAAUGCCCAAGUUUAUCCUGCUACAGAGCCUUUCAUUCAUAUCUACAAGCUGUGUGAACAAAGGAUGGAAAAUGAUGCUCCAGCUACACAUCAUGAACUUUUUGGCUUUUUCCCCUUGAAAUAAAAAGGAGACUUAGCACAGGGAUGAUUCACUGUAUCCUACUGUACUCUUGUGAUUCUUGAGCACAGAGAGAUCCUGAUAGGCUGUCAAAGGGAGCAAAGCAGCCAGGCAGAAGUUGUAAUAGGAGACUGAAAAUUAAAGCAAAACAUUUAAAAAGGUGAUUUCAAGAUGGGAUGCUGAGGAAUUUCCCCAGGUGCUUGGUUAGAGGCCCUCACUGGAAGUGAGAAUUCAUUUGUAACAGUGUUUACUUCUGAAUCUUCAAAUAUUCCACUUCAGGGGCAGAAGAAUGUAAUGGAUGGAAAGAGGGGAGGAAGGCAGGAAGGGAGGAAGGCAGGAAGGAAGGAAGGCAGGAAGGAAGGAAGGAAGGAAGGAAGGAAUUUCUAAUAGAACUAAUAGAAUAUGUCUUUUAGAUAUUCAUUUUCCUACACAUUUUUUUCCUGAAACCUCACUACAUGACCUUCCUUGCUCUGUUUAUAUCAACCAAAAAUAUGUUCACCUUGGUGGUAGGUCCUAAUUUAAUUUCUACAUGUAUCUGUAAUUUCUAGCUAUGAUGGUUAGAGAUCUUGGCAUUGGUUAUAACUCCAUUACACAGAAACAAAGAUUACAAAGCAACAGUGACAUUUUUUAAUGCUAUCUCUUAUAUAAUUUCUUAAAUGAUACUCUUAAGCCUGAUACUCCCAUUACUGACAGCAUCCAAGAAUCGGGAAUCCCCAUCUUUUACUGCGUAACUCAGCAAUGUCUGCCAUCACUGUGUAUGGCAUAUGACAUAACCAAAUUACUAAUCAUCAUCAUCAUCUUUUUAUUCAUCUGCUUCCCAUGGCAAGGUGAGGUGGAGUUGGCCCAAUAUCCAAAGCAAACGAGAAAUUCUAGAACCAGUAAAACAAAGAAGAAGCCAAUUAAACUUCCUCAUUACGUAUUACUGAGCUGCCCCAGACCAAUUAUACCAUAUUUCUUUGUGGUCUAAUUAGGUUCAGCUCAGUUUCCCAGUGUGGAAGCCUGUAAUGAGUGAGCACAUGAGAAGCUCAGCCCAGACUCCGUGUGAGGGAUCAUUAAUAUGCUCUGGGCUGCUGCCUUGGAAGAGCCUGCACCUCAUUAUGUGGGUUAACGCACUUAAACUAUUAAUGGAUGAAUUGCAGCCACUUCCAGUGUUUCAGGUCCCCUUGGACUGACAGAAGUGCAGAUUAAUAAGUUGUUAGAGAGUGAUCUGCUGACCUGCUCCAUUGUUCUUCCCUUUCACUCCAUCUUCUCUUAGAGACACGAAACGCUAAAGUGUAGGAAUGUGUCUAUCACUGGAUUUUCAGUUUUGUGGAUUUCUCUGGUUUUUUGCCUAAGAAAUUACCAAAAUAGGUGAAAGAUAAAUAUAAAAUGCUUGGCAUGUCCAAUAAGUUCAGUUGGCUCUGGAUCCAAAUGCAGCAUGCACAGGAGAUAUCAGGUCCCCUGACAACAAAAAACAGCCUAGGAUAAAGCCUGAGCUCCUUUCAGCUGGGGCUGUCUAAAUGUCAGCAUAUCAUAGAAUCAGGGAGUGGUCUGGGUUGGAAGUGACCUUAAAGAUCAUCUUGUUCCAACCCCCUGCUAUGGGCAGGGACAUCUUCCACUAGACCAGAUUACUCCAACCCGACGUUGGGACACUUCCAGGGAUGGGGCAGCCACAGCUUCUCUGGGCAGCCUGUACCAGGAUCUCACCAUCCUAAUAAUAAAUAAUUUCUUCCUAAUAUCUAUUCUAAUUCUUUGCUCUUUGGGGUUUAUAUCCUUUAUUUAAAAGGAUAUGAAAUUAUGAUGUGGUGGAAAGGCUGUAUUGAGACAGACUGCCAACACCUUUUGUCAGCGGAAGGAAAAAAUGGAUAUGAAAUUAUAGUAGUAGGAGCCAAAUUAAAUGAGAAAAAAAAAUAAUAAAAAAACAAACCCUGGGAUUUCGAGGAUUUUUUUUUUUCCCUGUUGGCAGUAGAUCUUUGAAACUUGUUUUCAAGACACACCAUCACCUGGAAAUCCCCUCAAUGGAAAAAUUAGGAUUGAAGACUUUGAGAUUAUUAGGAAGAAAAGAUUGAAGGUACUUCUUCUGUCUCCUAUUUACUUGUUUUUGCCAGUGCUGGAGACAGAAUGCUGAGUGAUGAACAGCUGAAGCAGUAGAAUUGUCCUCAUGUCCUACCUUGUGCUGAUGAAGGCAUAGAAGGUCCCUCAAGGCUUCCUCCUGCUUAGUUCAAGCAGCUGUUUUCCCAGCACAGCAGAUUUCACAGAAUCACAGAAUAUCCUGAGUUGGAAGCGACCUACAAUGUUUAUUACAGUCUGACUCUUGGAAUAGUAUAUACAGUAAAAUUUUCCACAUGUGUCAUAAAAGGGGAGAAAAAGUCAAGAAAUUGUUGAAGAGCUGAUGGCAUGUGCAACACUAUCAGUUUUGAGAUCUGUGUCCUUUUGUGGACUCAGCUUUGGCAUUUUUAAAGGCCCCAGAUCUGAGAAAUUUCCCUGCCUCCUGCAUGGCUUGUCAGCAGCAGCAUGAGGCACCCAAGCAGGUUUCUUUUCUCAUGUUCACAUUUAUCCUUAAGGCACUAGAGAAAAAACUGUUUCCUAUUCCACUCCAGACUAAGAAGACCUGACAACUUAAUAAUUGGGCUGGGUACUUAGCUCACCAUGCCUCUGAUGUGCCUCUUUUUAAUUGAUUUUGUCAGGAUCUUUUUAACUUCUCUUUCACUAUUGCCAGCAUGCUCUCACUCCUCAUAAUGCCUUUGCAAAUAGGUUUUAUUAGAAUUUUCCCCUGUCAUAUCCCAUUCUCACCUAUUUGUUACCAAUUAACCCUCUACACCAUGGUGGUUUGCAGGAUCUGCCAAAUGGAACUGCCUGCUGCUGGAAAUCUUUGAGCUCUGUUUCUCUGCCCGAGAUAUUGUAAAGAAGAAGAAACUGUGCCUGUAUUUUCUCCCAAAGCAUCAGUAACAAAACCAGCUGCUUAAUGGCAUUUUUAGAUAUUCUAUUUUCCAUGAGGAGGGCAAAGGAAAAUAUACCAAUGAAGUGACUAAAGAAAUAGAAAAUAAACCUUCACUUGCAGUUGCAGACAACGGCUCAUUGUCCAAAUGGGGAUUGGUAACAAUCUGUCCAUUUGGAGCCAGCAUGAUUUAAUAUCAUUAUAAAUGACACAGACAUCAGGACUGAGUGCAGCCUUCUGCAGGUUUGUGAAGUUGAUACACUAGAAGGAAAGGAUGCUGGGCAGGGGGACUUUGACUGGCCUGGGAAAUGUGAACUGUGUGAAGCUGAACAAGAGCAAAGUCCUGCACCUCAUCAGGUGACAUCACUCAGCAGUUACUACCAUGGGCAAAACACUUGGGGAAAUUAUUUUAACCUGUUGCCAAUAAAAUCAGAGGAAGAUGAUAAGAAAUAAACCCAAAUGUUUAAACACCUUCCCCGCACUCCUCUCUUCUCCCUGAGUUUGACUUCUCUCCUCAGUCUGCUCCCCCUCGGUGGGGCAGAGGGAAGGGAAUGGGGCGUGCAGUCACUUCCUCACCCAUCUUUGCUGAUCCUUCUUCCUCAGGGGGAGGACUCCUCACAUUCCUCCCCUGUUCCAGUGUGGGGUCCCUUCCACAUGAGGCAGUUUGCCAGGAACUUCUCCAAUGUGAGUCCUUCCCAUGGGCUGCACUUCUUCGCAAACUGCUCCAGCGUGGUCCCUUCCAUGGGGGGCAGUCCUUCAGGAACAGUCCUUUGGGGGUGCUUGUAGGGACAAUCAAAGCUGUUCCAGCGUGGGCUCCUCUCUCCACAGGGUCACAGGUCCUGCCAGGAGCCUGUGGACCCCCAAGAGCUGCAGGGGCUCAUCUGCCUCACCAUGGGCUGCACCCUGGGCUGCAGGGGAACCUGGAGCAGCUCCUGCCCCUCCUUCUGCACUGACCCGGCUGUCUGCAGAGCUGCUCCUCUCAACGUUGUCACUGCUCUCCCCUGACUGCUGCUGGGGUCCCACUGCUCAGCCUGGAGAGGAGAGGGCUCUGCACAGACCUCAUUGCACCAUCUCAGUAUAUGAAGGGAGCUUAUAAGAAAGACAGAUAUUCUUUUCACCAGGGCGUGUGUCAGAACUCAAAAUGUCCCUCAGACAUUUUCAGAGGUUCCAGGCCUUGGUCAGAAGCAUUUGACACCCUGGCAAGCAGCUGCAAACAGCUGUGAUUUUGAGUUUGAGCCAUGGAAUGAGUUACCAACUUUGAAGGUGGAUAAAGUGGUCACAGAGGGUUAGAUGGUAUAGUAGAAGUAAUUAAAAAUUAGAGGGAAAAUUGUUUAGUAUUGUACAGGGGGGUUUUAACACCUGUACAGGGGGGUUUUACUUUGUACAGGGGGGUCAGGAGUUCUAAGAUGGAGGAAAGUGGGCCUGAUCCUGUUCUUCCUCCUUCUUCUUCCUUACCUCCAUGUUCUUGGUGAUGCUGGCACUUAUGGAUUGGUUUAGAGUAGAAAAGCACCUUGUAACAUAGGUAGUAGGUAUUGGGGAAAAUCUGUAAACAUAUAACAUGUAAUAUAUCAUAUAAAAGAUAGCAGCAGCCCUGGGUGGGGAGAGAGAAGACACCAGGCAGUGAGGGUGUCAGGAGUGUGUGUGUCUCUGC